rnacentral:rRNA from 1 species
UACGUAGGGGGCAAGCGUUGUCCGGAAUCAUUGGGCGUAAAGCGCGUGUAGGCGGCUUGGUAAGUCCGCUCUGAAAGCCCGGGGCUCAACCCCGGGAGGCGGGUGGAUACUGUCAAGCUCGAGUCCGGAAGAGGCGAGUGGAAUUCCUGGUGUAGCGGUGAAAUUCGUAGAUAUCGGGAGGAACACCAGUGGCGAAGGCGGCGACCUGGGCAGAUACUGACACUGAGGUGCGAAAGCGUGGGGAGCAAACAGG